UUAUGAACAGUGUUUCAGUUGAUUUUGAGUUUUAGUAUAUAUUAAAUUAUGAUUAUUUUUUCCCUCUAGAUUAGUAAAUUAAGAGAGUUUUGAUGAAUUUUAAAUGAAAAAUAUUUAAUGAACUUUUAUUAAUAACAAGGACAAAAACAAGGGAUAGUUGUCGUAUUGUAUGUAAAUUGAAGUAAGGAGGCGGUGCAAGUAUCGUAAAUAAGUUAAGAUUUGAUGGCUGUAGUAUAUCACAUAAAAGUUAAAGUUUAACGGC
rnacentral:lncRNA from 1 species